rnacentral:rRNA from 1 species
UACGGGGGGGGCAAGCGUUGUUCGGAAUUACUGGGCGUAAAGGGCUCGUAGGUGGCCAACUAAGUCAGACGUGAAAUCCCUCGGCUUAACCGGGGAACUGCGUCUGAUACUGGAUGGCUUGAGUUCGGGAGAGGGAUGCGGAAUUCCAGGUGUAGCGGUGAAAUGCGUAGAUAUCGGGAGGAACACCUGUGGCGAAGGCGGCUUUCUGGGCCUUACCUGACGCUGAGACGCGAAAGCGUGGGGAGCGAACCGG